rnacentral:misc_RNA from 1 species
AACGCACAUUGCGCCCCCUGGUAUUCCGGGGGGCACACCUGUUCGAGCGCCAUUACAAACCUCAAGCCUUGCUUGGUGAUGGGCCCCGCCCGUGCGGCGGGCCCGAAACUCGUGGGCGCCCCAGGCCGGACUCCAAGCGUAGCAAAACCCUCGCUUGCGGACGACCGGUCGGAGGCCGCCCGGACCCCCAAUUUUAUCAAUGGUUGGCCUCGGAUCAGGUGGGGAUACCCGCUGAACUUAA